CAGCUCCAGCUGCCGGUAGUCCUCGGCGCUGAUGUUGUACUUCCCCUUGAUCCGGAUCUCCUCGGCUUUGAGUUUCUCCUCCUCGCGCAUCUCGUGGUCCGACUCGAGGGCGUCGAAGACGGCGGCGCCCACCAGCAGAUGGGAACACGGGCCCGGGGACACCGGACAGUUACCAUCCAGAAACCACUCCUGAGCCUCUGCCGGCUUCCGUCCAGCACCUCCUUCAACAGCUCCAGCUCCCUUCUGACCCCAAAGUCACAGCGCCUUGGAUAGCCAAGCCCAACCUCUCCAAAAACAAAACAAAACAAAAACCUUGGUUCUUCCCUUUUUCCCAAAAUAUGGCCUUUGGACUCAAAAGAAGCCCAGAGAGUCAGACUUCGGGGAGGGAUCCUGAGGGCUGGAGGAGGACACACACAGGCUCCCACACAGCCCUCUCUGCACCCCACAUCCCUCCCAUGGUCUUGACCUACAGGUGGACGCGAGCUCCGUGAAGCAGAACCUGGCUCUGGCGAGUCUUCCCAGCACUGUGUCCCCAGCGCUCUCCGCCUCACUCGCUCAGCUAGCAGUGUGGCUGAUACCACUGACAGGCCACAAAGAGGUUCUCUACAUGCGUUGGGCAUAUUCUUAGCCUCUAGGGGCUGAGGAGUAUGACCCCAUCUUAUCCAGAGAAGCCAAGCAGUGUUUUCUGGCCCCACUUAGUGAGCUGGAGUGGAAUCGACUCUCAGCCCAGCCCUUCCGCAGCAGCACUCCGUGAAACCCAUCCUGCUGCUGGCCGAAGGCAGGGAGCUACAGUGUGCUGGCUGGGCUCCGGGGCUGGUGCCCGCGUGCCUCUGGGCAUACUCACCAGUGCUGGCCCAGGACUGACGGCCGAGGUUUCCAGAUCAUCACAUCUCUGUGGUGCUGCUCACGCCUUGACAUGUUAACGCCCCCAUCUUUGAAAAGAGGCAGAGGAGGCAGAACCAUUGCCCCCAUUUUGCAGAUGAGAAAGGUGAGGCAGUAAGCCCCUUGGGCCCCAGUCACAAAUAGAGAGAAGAGAAAGCUGUGAUGGGAUCCUCCCCUUUCCCUGGGGGCCACUGCCAGCACUCUGGGUUCCUCCCUCCAGCCCUAGGGUUACCAGCCCUCACUGAUGGCUCAUGGGCCAUGUCUGCACUUGAAGCCCCCAGCAGGGGCUAAUGCCAGAGGGAAGCGCUCUGUAAGCAGCAGCCAGGUCCACCAGGUCUGCCAGGCUCUUUGGGAUAUGAAUAAGCAUGUCCCCGGGGAAGUGUCUCUGGCCGCACUGGGGACGCUGGUUCAACAGGAAAAUUCAGGAUUUCUCAGAGCCCUCAGUCUGCCAGCAGGCACCAUGGGCCCAGACAGGAGUGCUGUGAACAGCAUUUCCCAGAUUGGUUGGAUCACGGAAUCUGCCUCUGGGCACAGAGCUGACCUCAGAGCCAGGUCCCAAGCCACUCUUUGGGAACCACAGCCCCAGCCCGGGUUGCUGGGCAUAGAGGGGCAGGAAGCCUGGAUCCCACUUCUGGACGCACACAGGCAAACCCUCCUCCAGCUCAGGUCCUGGCAGCCUGCAGUCAGUCCAUCCCCCUCUCUCCUCUGCCUGCAACUACCUCUGAGCACGCGGGCUCUUGCACUCCCCUGCUGAAAACCCUCCAGGAGCUCCUGGCCAAACCUCGGCCCACCCUCGGUGUCGGCACCCUCAGCCCCUGCCUCCUUCCCCCGUCCUGCGGGGCAGCCUUCAGCACAACGGUCCUCACAGCACCCAGCACCUCUGUGCCUUGUUCAUGCUGUUCCCCCUGCCUGUGUGCCUUUCCCUGUCCUCUUCGGGCUCUCAUCUCCUCAUCUUUCAAGAUUCAGCUGCGACAGCACGUCCUCCAGGAGCUUCCCCGGUCCCCAGGCUGGCCGAGGCUCCCGUGUCCCUGCACAUACUCCUGUCCCAUCUCCCCUGCCGGACUCAGCUCCUCGAGUGAGGGCUGUGCCUGCCUCGUCUUGGUCGAGCAGGGCCUGCCGCUUGGCAGGUAGCCAGCAGGUGCACUGCUUGAUGGCAAUGAAAGGGCAGGGUCAGGUUCACUCACCCGCAGGUCUGAGGUCAUCGCCCCACAUGAGGUCUCUCUUAGGAAAGCAGGAAGACGUAGAUGCGCAGAACAGAGAGGGAAGUGUGCUGUGCAGAUGACAGAUGUGGCUGCCGGCCAGGAUCCUGUAGGUCCCCACACUUUAGGCCGUGACUCUGAUGUCACUGGGGGUCCGGUGCAGAGAAGGAAGAGGAGAAAGAGCAAGAAAGACGUAGAGGGAGAGGGAGAAGAUGCUAUGGGAGAGGCUCAGGCAGAGGAAGAAGUGGGGACGGGGUCUGCGGGGGGGGGGGGGGGGUCAAGGGCCCCCAGGACUGGAACGAGUAGAUGGGUGACCUUCCCUGGGCCUCGGCCCAUGGCAGACAUUGCUGAUCGAUCCCAGCCCUGUCUUUGGCCGAGAGGAUCUUGAACACAGGCAUAUACACAGGGCUCAUCCUGGGCCCAGCACUGACCUGUUUCCCUUCAAGGCCAUCACCAGUCUGGCCUCCGCUGAGAUGACAAAGAAGAGCCUGCACACAACGUGAGAGGACACAGGGAGCCAUGGUCGGUUCUUGAGCAGGAGAGUGGUGCCGUGAUAGUGGCGUACGUCCCUCUGCUGUGCUGAUCCUGGGUACGUGCUUCUUGAACGCCUGCUGGAUGCUGGGCCCGAGUUGGGUGUUGUGUCCUCAUGACGGCUCUGCAAGACUCGUCAUCAUCCCCGCUCAGGACAGUCGUCCAAGCUUAGGACAGUAGCCGUGGCGCCACUGCCCUUGGGGUGGGGGUGGGGUGGGAGUUAGGGCGCUGUGCCCUGGCCUCUCCAGGCACAGGCAACAAGGGGCCGGACCAGUAAGCUGGCAGGAAGGACAAGAAGGAAGAGGCAGAGUGAGCCCAGUCCCUGGUACACAGCAGGUGUCAUAAGUUAUUUUGUGGAUUCCAUGAUUGAAUCCAGAAGAUGCCGAGAUAAGUCCCAGGGUUCGGUGACACGUAGUGAGGGUCAGACUGGAGGCAGAUGGGCUCCUAAGAUACCAGAGGCAGAGCCAGUGAUGGAGAAGGGAAACUGCCUUGGUCUGCCCACAGGGGUCCAGAACGUUAUGUCAGGGAGCAGGGAAAGUGGUUCUGAGAGUGGACAGUCAGAGCCUGUGGCCCGUGGGUUGUCAGACCUCCAGCUUCCCCGGAUACCUGUUGACAAGCAACCUGGGUACAUGAGCCGCAAACUGCCCCGGGCUCCUCCCAGGGCGUCAAGCCCAGGUGGGCCCUUCUCGGCAUUUCUUGGGUCUCAGAGACUUCAGCGAGGUGUCCCACUGUGGCCAGGAGGGCACAAUCACCCGGGGAGUCCACACGCGACACUGCUGCAGGGACGGAAGGUGUGGGGAGUCGGGGCUCAGGAGGGCUCCGACCCGCUCCCGGAGCGAGGGGACGUUUAAGAGCAGGAACUUUAUUUCACAGACGGCAAAGCAGCCAGUCCUCCCAGACUCAGGGGCACGUGGCGGACGAAGGAAGCACUGGGAGGCAAAGCCAGGCUAAGGUGCCCGUCUUUCAAGCCGAGGACACCUCCAAAGCUCCAGAUGCGCGCGCGCGCGCGCACACACACACACACACACA